UCAACGUAGCAUUAAAGCCAUACAAGACUCUUGCAGCCUUAUCAUAAGAAUAGAUUUGAAAUAAAUAGCUAUAUCUAAUGGCUUUAAUUUUUAUUUUUUAUAGAAGGUAUCCUUAGAGCUGUUCUUCAAGGGCUUUGCUCCGAUAAGCCACUGUUCGGCAAGGAAUUCGACAAUAAGCCACUAUUCUUACCUUUCCCCUUUUUCAUCCUUCACGGCAAAUCACCUACGAUUAUCCAAUACUCCUCCGGUCGCAAAAAAACUGUAUAAUCCUCGACAAGCUCCACUUCUGACCGCCGCCAUUGACCACCGCACAACAACCUACCUCUACCAAUAGCAAGAAAAUGAGGAAAGUGAAGAACAAGUUGGCCUAGUUAUGAACUUCUACAAUACAUGUUCUCAUGUUGAAGAAGAGAUCAAAGAGCAAGUCAGGCUUCUCUACAAACGCCAUAAGAACACUGUAUUCUGUUUUUAAAUGAGUAUAUGUUCUUAUCAUUUUGGAUUAAAAUGUAAUUUAUCUAAUUUAAUCUUAACAUUAAGAAACUUAAAUGGAUUUAGUUUUUUAAAA